AUCAAGAGAACGUGCAGUCAAACUACAUAGCCUCGUUGUGAAUAGCCAACAUACCACAGGUCAAAAGACCAGUCACACCACUGCAGCAUCGAAAAGAUCACUGAUGAGUGUGUAAAUAUUCAAGUGAUUUCUUAUGUUGGUAACUCUCAGUAUAAAUUAUUCUCCAACAAUCACCUACACUCUCACUCCAAUGUCUCUACACCA
rnacentral:lncRNA from 1 species